rnacentral:rRNA from 1 species
AUUGAACGCUGGCGGCAUGCCUUACACAUGCAAGUCGAACGGCAGCACGGGAGCAAUCCUGGUGGCGAGUGGCGAACGGGUGAGUAAUAUAUCGGAACGUGCCGGUCGUGGGGAUAACGUAGCGAAAGCUACGCUAAUACCGCAUACGAUCUACGGAUGAAAGCGGGGGAUCGCAAGACCUCGCGCGAUUGGAGCGGCCGAUAUCAGAUUAGGUAGUUGGUGAGGUAAAGGCUCACCAAGCCGACGAUCUGUAGCUGGUCUGAGAGGACGACCAGCCACACUGGGACUGAGACACGGCCCAGACUCCUACGGGAGGCAGCAGUGGGGAAUUUUGGACAAUGGGCGCGAAGCCUGAUCCAGCAAUGCCGCGUGCAGG